GGCCCUACGGGAGGCAGCAGUGGGGAAUAUUGCACAAUGGGGGAAACCCUGAUGCAGCAACGCCGCGUGAGUGAAGAAGUAUUUCGAUAUGUAAAGCCCUAUCGGCAGGGAAGAAAAGCGAACAGGUUCGCCUGGACGGUACCUGACUAAGAAGCCCCGGCUAACUACGUGCCAGCAGCCGCGGUAAUACGUAGGGGGCAAGCGUUAUCCGGAUUCACUGGGUGUAAAGGGAGCGUAGACGGCGACGCAAGUCUGGAGUGAAAGCCCGGGGCCCAACCCCGGGACUGCCCUGGAAACUGCGCCGC
rnacentral:rRNA from 1 species